rnacentral:lncRNA from 1 species
CUAGACUGUUGUGAUGGGCAGGUCCCGUCUUGCAGGACACCCCCCAACACCCGCCGCCAGCACUGGGAUUCAGACAAGUCGGUGUUCCGUUCCGACCUAGUUUGCCAACUCGAGGUGCAGGCAAAAGCGGCGUCCAGGUUCCUGUGCUGUCUCUCCGCCUCGUCUGUCACCAUCUCCUUGCUCCACAGGAUUCAGACACUCUGGUGGCUUUCAAUUCCUACAGCAAAUCAAGCUCCUCCCCUCCCCUGAGCCUUCCCUCGCCCCCUCCCUCCAACAGGAAACCUCUGCUCCACCCUGCCUUCAGUGGCAACGCU